UAUGGCGCGGGGGGCGACCUAUCGCUGGCUGGUGGCCAACGCCGGGCGGUUCGGCUUCGUCCCCUAUGUC
rnacentral:tRNA from 1 species